rnacentral:rRNA from 1 species
GAUGAACGCUGGCGGCGUGCCUAAUACAUGCAAGUCGAGCGAACAGACGAUGAGCUUGCUCCUCUGACGUUAGCGGCGGACGGGUGAGUAACACGUGGAUAACCUACCUAUAAUACUGGGAUAACUUCGGGAAACCGGAGCUAAUACCGGAUAAUAUAUUGAACCGCAUGGUUCAAUAGUGAAAGACGGUUUUGCUGUCACUUAUAGAUGGAUCCGCGCCGCAUUAGCUAGUUGGUAAGGUAACGGCUUACCAAGGCAACGAUGCGUAGCCGACCUGAGAGAGUGAUAGGCCACACUGGAACUGAGACACGGUCCAGACUACUAAGGGAGGCAGCAGUAGCGAAUCUUCCGCAAUGGGCGAAAGCAUGACGGAGCAACGCCGAGUGAGUGAUGAAGGUCUUCGGAUCGUAAAACUGUGUUAUUAGGGAAGAACAAAUGUGUAAGUAAAUAUGCACGUCUUGACGGUAACUAAUCAGAAAGCCACGGCUAACUACGUG